UACAGAGGUCCCAAGCGUUGUUCGGAUUCACUGGGCGUAAAGGGUGCGUAGGUGGUGAGGUAAGUCGGAUGUGAAAUCUCCGAGCUCAACUCGGAAAUGGCAUUGGAAACUACCUUGCUCGAGGGUUGGAGGGGGGACUGGAAUGCUUGGUGUAGCAGUGAAAUGCGUAGAUAUCAAGCGGAACACCAGUGGCGAAGGCGAGUCCCUGGACAACUCCUGACACUGAGGCGCGAAAGCGUGGGGAGCAAACAGG
rnacentral:rRNA from 1 species